AAAUUGGGUAUAUGGGAACUCUAUCAUCUUUGAAACUUUACUGUAAAUCUAAAAUCAUUCCAAAGUCUACUAAGAGAAAUUCACAUAGCAUUAGAAAAUCGUUUCAGACAUUAUGAAGUAAAGUUGCAACAGAGCCAAUAUAAACCAUUCUCUCUGCAGUGAACUGAUACAAAGGAGACUGCUUUGAUCCAGGAGCCGGGAGAGAGCAAGGUUGUAGGCAAGGUAGGGAGGAGGGGCCCAUCAUGCGCUCAACUUCUUCACAGGCUUCAAAAAGACCACCUUAUCAACUGGACACCGGAGUAACUCCUAUAUGCAGAGAUCUAUGUGUAAGAGAGAUCUCUCUCUUGUACAGUGCAACCCCUUCUCAGUAGAGCAGUAAAGGCCAGUUAAUAGUCUUCAAAUUGGGGGAAAGUAAUGACUGCACAAAUGGCCAAUCAUCUUGAUGUGGAUGUUGGGAUGAGACUGCCUAACUAAUUCCAGAGCCUGCCUUGGGCCUGCACAGGAUGCAAACAGAAACCACUCAAAAGCAAGCAAAAACUGCCGCAUCAAUAGGUUCCAUUUGGUCUGGAACUUGACAAGGGAAAAGGCCAGUGGGUUAGGGAAAGCACCACUUUAAAAAAUCCAGUUUAUAAGGAUACCUCAAAGUGGUUCACACUGUGGCCAGGACUGAAAUCUUGUAGGCUUCUGAUCUUCAGAGCCACACUGGGCUCAUCCCCAAGAGUUGUUAAGACAGGAAUGCCACAGCACCAGGAGACAGUCUGGCUUUAGUCAGCACAUACAUGGAAGACUGCCAUGGAGGUUGCUUCUAGGUUUUGAGGUUGUGGAUUCAAAUCCUUCCUGAACUCAAUUCAUCUUCAAAGCAAACAGGAACCUCAAAUUUCCCCUGAGGAUUAAGAAACAACUUGGGUCUAGAGAGGUAAACAGGCUACAAGCUCUGGUCUCACAUUUCAUCUCUGUGGAAAAGCUGGGUAUGCACUGCCUAGGUUCAGUAAGAAAGGCUUGAAAGGACAGAGUUUGAGCACAGACAGUCUAGUGACUGAAACAUGCCCUGACAGUAAGAGGUGCAAAGGUCAGUACUGAGCAGGUCCUGAUGUACCUGUAUCUAUCUCUUGGAACUACCAAGGCAGCAGCAUUUGUGUACCACUGUGGAAAGAAGGCACUUCCAAUUGUCUUUGCACUAAUCUGUCUAGACUCAACUUCCAGUCCAUAUUUCCACAUUACAUAUUCAACACAGUAGCUUUGCUCCCAUGACACAUGCCUGGGCACUCAGAUACUUCCACUAUGUCUAUCAACGUACCACCUACCUCAGCACCUAAGUGGGAACAAAGUAGAGCCAGACUCUAGUUCAUCAGCUCCUCAGAGGACAACUCCUGAUUUCUGGGGCCCUUAUCUACAGCAGCAUGAUUGCUGAGGCACUGCCUCUACUCAAACUCUACUUCCCUACCAUUCUUACUCCUCAGCACAUCUUGCCACAAAUAUGCAUUAGAAACUUGUUCUUAGUUUCAGGAUUAUUCUCAGGUUAUUUCCUUUGAAAAUGCAAAUGCACUCAAAGGACUGUAUUAUGCUACCUUAACCUCAUUAUCAAAUCAACCGACAGGCACAAGUGCACAUAAGGAGAAGAAAAAAACCUAAAAAAGAGCCCUGAAAGCCUGGGUGAGAAGAGACAGUGAAAGGUCCUCAGUGCCGGGAAUAGGGAGAGGUGCUCAGAAAGAGAAGGUGAAAUGACACCAAUGAGACUAUUCCUACUUCACAAUUUUCUCAAAUCAUGCCCUGUUUAAAAAUUUGUGGCUUUUACCUUAAAUUGGGAGAGAGAGAGAUCGGUGGGGAAGUAUAGUGAUCAUUUUUUAAAUCACGUAUUUUCCUUCAAGACUUAGGAAACAAGAAUCCUUACUUCUGAAAUCCAGUAAUCAGUGCCACGGAACUUUUGAAAGAGUAAAAACUUGUCUGAGACAAAAGCUGGAAGUCAGGAAUGGAAAAAAAAAAACUCUGCCAUUAAUUGGACUGGGAGGAUAGACACAGAUUAAAGCAGGUGUAAAGUAAAUAAGAAACAUAUUUCCCAAGGUCAUGUAGCAGCUGUAAAAUGCUCUCACAGACCCCAAUAUGCUUUGCUGUCGUCAUCUAUUACUAAGGACACCCAUCUGCUAAACUGACCUUGCCUCACGACAGCAUCCAAACAUUAAUAAACCCUCCAUUCUAAUCCUGCCUCAGAAACAGCAGCCAAUCCAAAACUGAAACCCACAUACCUUACCGCCUCCUCAGAACCCUUCAGCAGGAACCCAAACCUAACAAAAGGUGCUUCCCUCCUCCCUCUUCUUGUGAGGCAUUCCAGUUUCCCAGGAGUGCCUUCCCUCACUGUAUUAUGUCAAUAAACAUUUUGUCAGACGCCAGGCUUGUUCUGGAUGAUCUCUGAAGCUGGGUGCCUUCCUCUCUUCCUCCUCUGAACCUCAACUCCUAGGUGGAGAUUCCACCCUUUCCUGCCAGUCUUCCCUUCUUGUACAGACUACCUUCCCUUGAAGGGGGCUCAGCUGGCCCAGCCAUCAACUGACAACAUAAGGAAAGAAGAAUGCAUUUGUUGAACGAUAAGGCGGUCAGGAGAAAGAGAAAAAGAGCAUCCUCAAGAAUAAAAGAAAACCAGACAAUUGUUUCCAGGAAAACAGUGACAUCAGUUGGGUCCUGUGCAGCUAAGACAUGAGUUGUGAAAGUUUUUUCUGGACAUAUACUCAAGCUCAGAAAUUCUUUCUUCAUCUGUGUCCAGUCUACUAAGGAGCCCACUAACGGCAUUCUUCAUUUGUUAGACUUCUUGUUCUUCCUUGGAAUUUGAAUCUCUGCUGAUAUUGCUCAAUUAUUCUUACAUGUUGCCUAUUUUCCCAUUAAAGCUCUUAGUAUAUUAAUCACAGAUUUAAAAAAGUCCUGGUAUGAUAAUUCUAGCACUCCUGCCAUGUCUAAUUCUGGUUCUGAUGAUGUUAGUGUCUUUAAACUGUGUUUUUUGCUUUUAGUAUGUAUGCCUUGCAAAUUUUUAUUGAAUUUUUUUAUUGUACAUGAUAUACUAUGUAAGGGGAACUGCAGAAAAGAGCCCUUAGUAAUGUAGUGGGAAGGUGUAGAGGGACAUGAAGCAUUUCAAAUGUCCUAUGAUUAGGUCUCGGUCUUUUGGUAAGAUUGUGCCCCUGGAUUGUGAACUUCACCAGUGCUUUUCAGGUUUCCCUCCCUUUUGAUGGGAUUAGGUUGGCUAAGGGCUGGAGCUGAGUGUUUCCUUUCCCCCACAUGGUAGGCUAGAGCCUGCUAAAGUUGGCUACAUUCCUUCCCCCUGGUCAGUUAGUCUCUGAUAAGACCACAGCAGGUUAGAGUGUGGUAAAAAAAUUUCUCCCAGGGGCAGGCCUUAUGAAGAACAGAAUGUUCUGGCUUAUUUCAAAGCAGUUACUCUUUCCCUUCUACCAGGAGCAUUAGAGGAUUUUCCCUCAGUAUGCACUGUGAGAAUUUGGGAGAGAUCCUUGACGUAAAGCUCACAAGUAUGUGGGCACUCCUAGAGUUUUUAUCUCUUAGACUUAUCCACACUGAGUCUCCAGCAACUUGUCAAUUAUAGUUGCAGUUUUCUACCCCAAUACUGGUUCCUACACAGAUUUCUACUCUGGUAAAUUGUGAUUCUCUGUAUAAUUUUCAGUGUCCAUUAAGCUGCAAAUUUUUCUGCCACACAAAUCUUCAACACCUUUCUGGUUUUAUGACCUUGAAUCUGAUUCCGCCCUCAAGAUCCCAUCAGGACUCCAAAGAAACAGAUCACUGGGAUAUCUGAGGUAGGAAAACCUUUACUCAUUUUAUAUUUUCUUAGUAAAGGCUGCUUAACAGGUGAGGAGGGAUUAUUGAACAAGGUCUCACAAAAUAGUCAGACCUUUUAAUAACAGCAACAAUAAGAAUGUUAAUAAUAAUAAUGAUAGCAUCAAACACUUAUUCAGUGCUUUCCAUGCCAGAUGCAGCUCCAGAAACUUUUACAUGUAUUAACUACUAUAAUUCCCUCAAAAUCCUAUGAGGUAGGUACUUAAAAAAUAUAUUCAUGAAUAAACUGAGUCACUAUAAGAUAAAAUAAUUUCCUGAAGAUUACACUGUUAAUCAUAACAUUGACUAGCAGUCAAACUUAAGAGCUCAUGAUGCUAAGCUAUUGUUCUUCUUUAAUAGAAAAGAAUAUUUAAGAAUUUAACUAUAAGUGACCCAAGUAAGUUAUGGUUCAUUCAUUCUUAGCUAGCAGCCCAGAUUCUGUUUUUGAGAUAUCUACCCAAUAUAUUUUAUUAUUUGACCACAAUUUACAUACAUACCUUGCCUCAUCUCAGCAAAAACAAUUAUAGUCCCACAGAGACAGAAAGCACAUUACUGGUUAGUAGCAGUUAUAAGACUAGGGAAUGACUGGUUAAUGGGUAUGGAGUUUCCUUUUGGGAUGAUAAAGAUGUGUUAGAAUUAAACAAAUGACAGUUACACAAUACUGUGAAUGUACUAAAUGCCACUGAGUUGUACACUUUAAAAUGGUUAGUUUAUUAUGUGAAUUUUACCUCAAUUAAAAAAAAGAAUGAUCUACAAUAUGUUUGUUAAUAGUAAUCAUGGAGCAGUAUACAACUACUAAAAAGUAUUUAUGAAAUAUUUUAGAAGUAUUUAAUGACAAGAAGAAAAGAGUCUAAAAUAGUAUAAAGUAGAAAAAGUAGGUUAUAUAACUUAUGUAGCACACCAAAUCUGAAAAACAAAUUUUUUUGCUUUUAAUAUUUGGAUUCAUGCACUAACAGUUUUUAUCUGGAUAGUAAAAUAAAUGGUUUCUUUUUAUAUUUUCUGUAUUUACUAUGUUAUGUAUUUCUUUUAUUAUGAAAACAAAUACAUUUUUAAAAGAAUUUAGUCACAAAUAGCUAAUAAAUUUAACAAUGUAAUUGAUUUAAAAGUCCUCAAAUACAAAAACAGAAAAACAAAUAUAAAGAUCAAACUAAAUUCAAAGCUAUUAAUUAUAUUAAAUAUGAGUAGUCUAAACACACCUAUUGGAAGACAGAGAUUGUCAGAAUGGAGGAACGUUUUGCCUAAAUACAUGCUAGAGUGUCUAUACUAGUAUCAAAGUAGACUUCAAAGAAAGAAAAUUACCAGGGUAAAAAAGAGACAUUACACAAUACAUAUGCUCUUUAAAUAUACAUGAAAUAUUCACCAAGACAGAUAGUAUCUCCUGGGUCAUAAACACCUUAACAAAUUGAAAAGAACUGAAUUCAUACAAACUGUUUUCUGACCAUAAUGGUAUUACACUAGAAAUGUUUAAACAAGGUAACAGGAAAACCACCAAACACUUUAAAAUUUAACGACACAAUUCUAUAUGAUCUAAGGAUUAAGGAAGAAGUCUCAAGGGAAAUUGGAAAAUAUUUUGAACUGAAUGGAAAUUAAAACAUAGUCUUUUAAAAUUCCUGGUAUGCAGCUAAAAGUAGUGCUUAGAGGAAAAUGUAUAGUUGCUAUAGUAUAAGUGUGUGUGUCCCCCACCAAAAUUCUUACAUUGAAAUCUAAUCCUCAGUGUGAUUAUAUUGGAGAUGGGCAUUUAAUGGGAGAUGAUUAGGUCAUGAUGGUAGAGCCCUCAUGAAUGGGGUUACUGUUUUUAUAAAGAAAGACCCCAGAAUCAGCAAAAUAAAAACACAACCUAAACUACAGAAGAACAUAUUUGUAAAUGAUUUAUCGGAUAAGGGGUUAACAUCUAAAAUAUAUAAAGAACUCAUACGCCUCAACACCAAAAUUAACCCCCAAAUAACCCAACAGAAAAAUGGGCAGAGGACCUAAAUAGACAUUUUUGCAAAGAAGUACAGAUGGCCAACAGGCACAUGAAAAGAUGUUCCACACUGCUAAUCAUCAAGGAAAUGCAAAACAAAACUGCACUGAGAUAUCACCUCACACCAGUUAGAAUGGCCACUAUUCAAAAGACAAGAAGUAAUAAGUGUUGGAUAGGACGUGGAGAAAUGGGAACCCUCCUACAUUGUUGGCAGUAAUGUAAAUUGGUUGCAGCCACUAGGGAAAGCAAUAUGGAGGUUACUCAAAAAACUAAAAAUAGAAAUAUAUGACCCAGUAACUCCACUCCUGGGAAUUUAUCUGAAGAAACCAAAAAUUCUAAUUCAAAAAUAUAUAAGCACCCCUAUGUUUAUUGCUGCAUCAUUUACAACAGCCAAGUUACAGAAGCAACCUAAGUGCCCAUCAACAGACUAUCAGAUAAAGAACAUGUGGUAAAUAUACACAAUGGAAUAUUAGUGGUAAAUAUACACAAUGGAAUAUUAUAUAUUCACCAAAAAAGAAACAAAAACAAAUCCUGCCAUUGUCACAACAUGGAUGGACAUAUAGGGUAUUAUGCUAAGUGAAAUAACCCAGGCAGAGAAAGACAAAUACCUUAUGAUUUCACUUACAUGUGGAAUCAAAAUACAAAACAAAACAAAAUAGGCAGUAGACUCAUAGACACUGAGAAGUGACUGGUCAUUACCAUGGGGAAGUAGUUGGGGUGGGUGGGUAAAAUAGAUGAAGGGGAUAAAGAGGCACAAAAAUCUAAAUUAUAAUACAAAUUAGUUACAGGGAUGAAAGUACAACACAGAGAAUAUAGCCAAUAGUUCUGCAACAUUUUUCUGUGUCGACAGAUAAUGACCCUAGUUGGGGUGAGGAUUUAAUAAUGUGUUAAUAACUGUUGUCACUAUGUUAUAUACUUGAAACCAAUAUAAUAUUGCAUAUUAACUGCAGUUCAAUAAAAAAAAUAAGAAGGACACCACAGAACUCCCUUCCCCCUUCCCAUAUGUAAAGGCACAGUGAGAGGACAACCAUCUAUGAAGUAGGAAGGAGGCCCUCACAAGACACCUAAUCUGCUGAAGUCUUGAUCUUAGAUUUUCCAAAACUGUGAGAAAUAAAUUUCUGUUGUUUAUAGGUGACUUAAUUUGUAACAGUUUGUUACAGCAGCGCAAAUGGACUACUAAAAAAAUAGUUAUCAAACACCUACAUUAUAAAAGAAGAGCCUCAAAUCUAUCUCAGCUUCCAUCUUAAGAAACUAGAAGAAUAAAACAAACCCAAGUAAUGAAGAAGGAGGGAAAUAAUAAAAGAGCAGAAUGUAACUGGAAAAAGGAAAAAAAAAUUCAAUGAAAGAAAAGUUGGUUCUCUGACAAGACCAGUAAAAUUAAGAAAUCAAGACAACUAAAAAAAAAAAAAAGAAAUACAACAUA